rnacentral:rRNA from 1 species
CCUACGGGAGGCUGCAGUGAGGAAUAUUGGUCAAUGGCCGCAGGGCUGAACCAGCGAAGUCGCGUGAGGGAUGAAGGUCCUAUGGUUUGUAAACCUCUUUUGUCAGGGAGCAAAGGGCGCCACGUGUGGCGUUUUUCGAUUACCUUACGAAAUAGCAUCGGCUAACUCAGUGCUAGCAGCCGCGGUACUACGGAGGAUGCGAGCGUUAUCCGGAUUUAUUGGGUUUAAAGGGUGCGCAGGCGGAAUGUCAAGUCAGCGGUAAAAUUUCGGGGCUCAACCCCGUCGUGCCGUGGAAACUGGCGUUCUAGAGUGAGCGAGAAGUAUGCGGAAUGCGUGGUGUAGCGGUGAAAUGCAUAGAUAUCACGCAGAACUCCGAUUGCGAAGGCAGCAUACCGGCGCUCAACUGACGCUCAUGCACGAAAGCGUGGGUAUCGAACAGGAUUAGAUACCCUGGUAGUC